rnacentral:rRNA from 1 species
UUGGAGGGCAAGUCUGGUGCCAGCAGCCGCGGUAAUUCCAGCUCCAAUAGCGUAUAUUAAAGUUGUUGCAGUUAAAAAGCUCGUAGUUGAAUUUCGGGAUCAAUAUAUCAGUCGUGCCUUUGGUACGUACUGGUAUCAUUGAUUUCUCCUUUCUGACGAAUCAUGAUGUCAUUAAUUUGGUGUUAUGAGGAGUUAGGACUGUUACUUUGAAAAAAUUAGAGUGUUUAAAGCAGGCAUUAGCUUGAAUACAUUAGCAUGGAAUAAUGAAAUAGGACGUUUGACCCUAUUUUGUUGGUUUUUAGGAUCGACGUAAUGAUUAAUAGGGAUAGUUGGGGGCAUUAGUAUUCAAUUGUCAGAGGUGAAAUUCUUGGAUUUAUUGAAGACUAACUACUGCGAAAGCAUUUGCCAAGGAUGUUUUCAUUAAUCAAGAACGAAAGUUAGGGGAUCGAAGACGAUCAGAUACCGUCGUAGUCUUAACCAUAAACUAUGCCGACUAGGGAUCGGAUGAUGUUAAUUUUAUAAUGACUCAUUCGGCGCCUUACGGGGAAC